CCUCCGUACUAUGAGGUAUUACUACUGUUACCUCCGUACUAUGAGGUAUUACUACUGUUACCUCCGUACUAUGAGGUAUUACUACAGUUACCUCCGUUCUAUGAGGUAUUACUACUGUUACCUCCGUACUAUGAGGUAUUACUACUGUUACCUCCGUGCUAUAAGGUAUUACUACUGUUACCUCCGUACUAUGAGGUCUUACUACUGUUACCUCCGUGCUAUGAGGUAUUAAUACUGUUACCUCCGUGCUAUGAGGUAUUAAUACUGUUACCUCCAUACUAUAAGGUAUUACUACCAUGACCUCUGUACUAUGAACUACUACUACUUCGACCUUUGAACCAUUAUCAAAUCAUGAUAUUAGGAAGGAGUCCACACUGAGCGUCACGUCUCUUAACGUGUUUUACGGGACAAUCGAAGGGAACAUCGGAUGUUUUACAAAGAUUAUCUUAAAACUCCCAAAUCGUUUGCUGCCUCUAAAAAUUCUAAAAGGUUCAGGGACAGAAGUCGGUGAAAGAUUCAUGGUCUUAUUGAGUCGGCCGUGUCAUCUGCUUUCAGGGCCGCUGUUUAUCUUCCUCCUGAUGCAGAUGUUUAACGUUGCACUGCAGGAACACAUGACUGCUUUUAGCUUUUGUGCGUCAUGUUCCUCGUGUGCAGCAAACGGGCUGCGAGUGCAUUUUGUUGCAUGAUGAAAAUAAAUUAUGUUGGAGUCCUUACAUGCAUCCAUUGUAUGUGCUGAGUUCCUACAGCCCCCAGAGGGCCGCAGCCUCUUCACAUCCUGUCGAUGCGUUUUCUAUUUUAGUGUCGGACAGUGAAAUACCACAUGUGUCAACAGAUUAUUGGUUUUUGACUUACAGAAGACAAAAAGAAGCGAAAACAUUCAACCUGUUAGUUUGAGUUAUUGUGACAAAUGCGGAAUGUGAAACAUUCAAACUUUUGUUGGUUUACAUUAAAACUCAUGAAGGGAGAUUUUUAAGUCAAAUAAAAGGAAAUUACAAAAUAAACAUUGAUCCUGAAAAGUGGAAUUAUGGGACACAAAAGAAGAGGAACAAAUGUAAAUAACUGUUCAUGUCAUUAAAUACAUUAAACCCACUGCAAUGUUGUUUUCCAGAGUGACAUUUACGGAGCAUUUACCCAACAACAGACGAGUCAUCGCCGGAACGCCACCGCGGCUGAUUUACUGACCGCCAGAGUUUUUACAGUGAGAGAUAAAAACACGCUAAGGUCAUGUUUUAUUUAUUUGUUCCAUCACCAUUAUAAUUAGCAAUUUAAAUCACAAAACUACAUUCAGAAGAAACUAUUAUGUUGAAUUCUCCCGCUGGGAGCCGUCAGGCUACAGAUAAACCAGCACAGGGGCCCAACACGAGGCCCGCGGCCCCCAGGAGGUCACGGCAGAGUGGUGUUCAGGAACUAGAAUUAAGGUGAUUUGUUAAGGAACUAAAAUGUAGGUGGUGUGUUCAGGAACUAAAAUGAAGGUGGUGCGUUAAGGAACUAGAUGGUUUUGCUGUUUUUUGGAGUGGACUAACUUAACUAACUUAAACACAGAUUUAAAUACUUACUCAUUUUAUAAUAAAUCAAGAAAAUAACAUAUUUUAAAGCUUUGUUUGCUCUUGAACAGCGACAAUAAUUAUUGAAAGUAACAAACCGUGUUUUAUUUAUUAGAAAAAAAAGGUUAAAAUCUCAUCAAAACCUUAUUUUUAAAAAUGCCUUCAAGACGCGGAAACAGGAAGUAAACAAACUGCUGACUCGUCCUCUUGUUUUCGAACUCGUUCCUGCAGCUUUGUGUUGGAGGGCUUGUGGUGCGAUUUGUUUCCUCGGCUCUCUUCCUCAUGACAGAACCGCUCUCGCUCACUUUAGCUCGAUUUAUCGUAUGCAAAGUGUUACAUAAAUGUAAAUCAACUCAUCCGAUUAAUAUUUCACCGUGAUUUCACUUAGCAGAUUUGUCUUUCAGAAAAAGCGGACACGAAACAAUGAGAGCCGCUCUUCCAUAUUUUAAUGACAAAACAAACUGCCGCUCAGACAAAACACGCGGGUUUAAACAUUAAUGCUUCCUGCAGAUGUAUAUCCAGAAGAAGAGGAGGAGAGGAGGGCGGGGAGGUGGGGGGGAAAUGGGGCAGAAACCUGAAGGAGGAGCUCAUCAGGUUCGGAGAGACUUAAGUGCUCGGAUGAACAUCGUCCCAACAAAGCAGCCAUGUAUAAUGCAGACGCUUCCAUUUGUCAUCUCUGAAUGCUUAUCAUUGCUGUCAUUAUUCAAGAGGUUCUGAGUGUUAAAGACACAAAGACAG
ensembl:lncRNA